rnacentral:rRNA from 1 species
CAACACAGGGAAACUUGUGCUAAUACCGGAUGAGCCCUUCGGGGGAAAGAUUUAUCGCCAUUGGAGCGGCCCGCGUUGGAUUAGGUAGUUGGUGGGGUAAAGGCCCACCAAGCCGACGGAUCCAUAGCUGGGUCUGAGAGGAUGAUCAGCCAACAACUGGGACUGAGACACGGCCCAGACUCCUACGGGGAGCCAGCAGUGGGGAAUCUUGCGCAAUUGGGCGAAAGCCUGACGCAGCCAUGCCGCGUGAAUGAUGAAGGUCCUAGGAUUGUAAAAUUCUUUCACCGGGGAAGAUAAUGACGGUACCCGGAGAAGAAGCCCCGGCUAACUUCGUGCCAGCAGCCGCGGUAAUACGAAGGGGGCUAGCGUUGCUCGGAAUUACUGGGCGUAAAGGGCGCGUAGGCGGACAGUUUAGUCAGAGGUAAAGCCCAGGGCUCAACCUUGGAACUGCCUUUGAUACUGGCUGUCUUGAGUUCGGGAGAGGUGAGUGGAAUGCCGAGUGUAGAGGUGAAAUUCGUAGAUAUUCGGCGGAACACCAGUGGCGAAGGCGACUCACUGGCCCGAUACUGACG